rnacentral:misc_RNA from 1 species
GAAAUGCGAUAAGUAGUGUGAAUUGCAGAAUUCAGUGAAUCAUCGAAUCUUUGAACGCACAUUGCGCCCCUUGGUAUUCCAUGGGGUAUGCCUGUUCGAGCGUCAUUUGUACCCUCAAGCUCUGCUUGGUGUUGGGUGUUUGUCCCGUCUCCGCGCGUGGACUCGCCCCAAAGUGAUUGGCAGCCGGCGUACUGGUCCCGGAGCGCAGCACAUGUCGCGCAAACGAGUGCCUUGGUACGGCGGCGUCCAUAAGCCCCUCUCUCACGCUCUUGACCUCGGAUCAGGUAGGGAUACCCGCUGAACUUAAGC